UUCCCUACCAUCACGCAUGACAAUUCGCCUGGCUGCUGUUACACCCUCAUCUUUAAGCCCUUCUUGGAUCUCAGUGUCAGAACAGUCAAGGAGUUGUUCCUCAGAUAUUACCCCUUUCAAAACAUUCAGAGUCCGGUGUUUCGUAACACUGACUCCCACGUCUCCAAUUCUGCUGAGAGAAAGGAGUGCCAAGCUUUGCUGUCUAUUGCUGACUUCGAUUUGAAAGGAGAUAUCUUAGACAGUGGCUUUGUUCCAUCCUCUGCAUGCAGAACAAGGAACUUUGCAUACCACGGUUCAGAGGAGAAAAAUUGAAUGCAGGUGGCGUGUCGGCCACCACCGACCCCAACAACGGGAACGUGCUCUGCACGUUAACACUUCCCCUGCACUAUACCCUAGUGCAGCUUCUGGAGAGGGAAAGACUGCCCAAGGUUGACCCUUGCCGCCAAAGAAGGUGAAAAGAGGAAAAGGAGAGAAGGGAAGGAGACCAAGGAAGAGAAAGUAAUGAAAACGAA